rnacentral:tRNA from 1 species
GCGGUAUCAGAUGGGCAAGCACUGCAAGUGACUGAUUAAUAAAGAAAGUUAAUAUUCAUGUACUGGCUACGAACCAGGCGGUCGCACGUUCGAAUCGUGCCGGGCGCGCCA